GGUGGCUCAGUGGUAGAGUGCUUGUCUUGCAAGCAUGAGGCCCUGGGUUCAAUUCCUCAGCACCA
rnacentral:tRNA from 1 species